UACGUAGGGUGCAAGCGUUGUCCGGAAUUAUUGGGCGUAAAGAGCUCGUAGGCGGUCUGUUGCGUCGGCUGUGAAAACCCGGGGCUCAACUCCGGGCCUGCAGCCGAUACGGGCAGACUAGAGUUCGGUAGGGGAGACUGGAAUUCCUGGUGUAGCGGUGAAAUGCGCAGAUAUCAGGAGGAACACCGGUGGCGAAGGCGGGUCUCUGGGCCGAUACUGACGCUGAGGAGCGAAAGCGUGGUGAGCGAACAGG
rnacentral:rRNA from 1 species